rnacentral:rRNA from 1 species
UUCGACACACUAUCAUUAACUGAAUCCAUAGGUUAAUGAGGCGAACCGGGGGAACUGAAACAUCUAAGUACCCCGAGGAAAAGAAAUCAACCGAGAUUCCCCCAGUAGCGGCGAGCGAACGGGGAGGAGCCCAGAGCCUGAAUCAGUGUGUGUGUUAGUGGAAGCGUCUGGAAAGGCGCGCGAUACAGGGUGACAGCCCCGUACACAAAAAUACACAUAUUGUGAGCUCGAUGAGUAGGGCGGGACACGUGGUAUCCUGUCUGAAUAUGGGGGGACCAUCCUCCAAGGCUAAAUACUCCUGACUGACCGAUAGUGAACCAGUACCGUGAGGGAAAGGCGAAAAGAACCCCGGCGAGGGGAGUGAAAAAGAACCUGAAACCGUGUACGUACAAGCAGUGGGAGCACGCUUAGGCGUGUGACUGCGUACCUUUUGUAUAAUGGGUCAGCGACUUAUAUUCUGUAGCAAGGUUAACCGAAUAGGGGAGCCGAAGGGAAACCGAGUCUUAACUGGGCGUUAAGUUGCAGGGUAUAGACCCGAAACCCGGUGAUCUAGCCAUGGGCAGGUUGAAGGUUGGGUAACACUAACUGGAGGACCGAACCGACUAAUGUUGAAAAAUUAGCGGAUGACUUGUGGCUGGGGGUGAAAGGCCAAUCAAACCGGGAGAUAGCUGGUUCUCCCCGAAAGCUAUUUAGGUAGCGCCUCGUGAAUUCAUCUCCGGGGGUAGAGCACUGUUUCGGCA